CACUCCUACGGGAGGCAGCAGUGGGGAAUUUUGGACAAUGGGCGAAAGCCUGAUCCAGCAAUGCCGCGUGAGUGAAGAAGGCCUUCGGGUUGUAAAGCUCUUUUGUCAUGGAAGAAACGGUGAAAGCUAAUAUCUUUUGCUAAUGACGGUACCUGAAGAAUAAGCACCGGCUAACUACGUGCCAGCAGCCGCGGUAAUACGUAGGGUGCAAGCGUUAAUCGGAAUUACUGGGCGUAAAGCGUGCGCAGGCGGUUUUGUAAGUCUGAUGUGAAAUCCCCGGGCUCAACCUGGGAAUUGCAUUGGAGACUGCAAGGCUAGAAUCUGGCAGAGGGGGGUAGAAUUCCACGUGUAGCAGUGAAAUGCGUAGAUAUGUGGAGGAACACCGAUGGCGAAGGCAGCCCCCUGGGUCAAGAUUGACGCUCAUGCACGAAAGCGUGGGGAGCAAACAGGAUUAGAUACCCCAGUAGUCCA
rnacentral:rRNA from 1 species